AUUGAACGCUGGCGGCAGGCCUAACACAUGCAAGUCGAGCGGAGCGGCGGACGGGUGAGUAAUGCCUAGGAAUCUGCCUGGUAGUGGGGGAUAACGUCCGGAACCGGGCGCUAAUACCGCAUACUAUCAGAUGAGCCUAGGUCGGAUUCGCUAGUUGGUGGGGUAAAGGCCUACCAAGGCGACGAUCCGUAACUGGUCUGAGAGGAUGAUCAGUCACACUGGAACUGAGACACGGUCAAGACGAGUACGGGAGGCAGCAGGGGGGAAGAUUGCACAAUGGGCGAAAGCCUGAUGCAGCCAUGCCGCGUGUAUGAAGAAGGCCUUCGGGUGGUAAAGUACUUUCAGCGGGGAGGCGUUACCCGCAGAAGAAGCACCGGCUAACUCCGUGCCAGAAGCCGCGGUAAUUC
rnacentral:rRNA from 1 species